rnacentral:lncRNA from 13 species
GGGUUUUUUCAGAGGCCUAUUACACUUAUUUUUACAUCUCUUUCAGCUUCCAAUGAUCUUACUUCAACUUCAUCUUGAAGCCCUAUCAAGCAGAAUGAAGAGUCCUCUGUCAAAUUUCUGUCCUUAUGAGGUGGUGGCUGGAGAAUUGAUAAGGACUUGA